CGAUAAUAAAUUUGAAGUGAC
ensembl:piRNA 21ur-5879 ncRNA